rnacentral:lncRNA from 1 species
GUUCCCAUGGGAACCUGGAGAGGGACUCUCCCUACGUUCCCACCCCUGUGGGCUUCCGCAAAGGAAAAUGGACCACAAGGGAGUCUUCAAGAGCUGCUUCAAAAUCCGCUGUUCUUCAGGCGGUUGAGGAAAACAAAGACUUGCCCAGACUUCCUCAGUGCCAGACACUGUGCCCGUGGAAAAGGAGGUGACUGACACCUAGUGCUUACCGGGGAGGAGAGGGCGCCACUAAAUGAAUCAUUUCAAUGCAGUGCGAUAAGUGAUGCGAUGUGCUUUGCGCAAGGUGUUACGAGAUGAGAGAGAGAGGUCAAGAAAGCUUCUGGAGAGACGGUGCUUAGGUUAUGUUUGAAAAUUGUCUCGCAGUUAGCCCACAAAGGGAAAGGGAAGAAUAGGAAGAAGUCUCUCAUCCAUCGUCAAUUGUUUUCCUAUUUCAAUUCAAAAGCAUUAAGAAGAGUUGAAACAUACAAGGAAAAAAAUGAGAGAGGAAUUAAACCUCGGAAAAGUUAAAAAAUACGGUCUGUCCAUUGCUUAUGUCCACGCGCGGAGGACGGGCGUGGGUCUAGGUAAAGGAAAUUGUGAACUAUGUUAAGAAAAGGAAAUUCCUAAAUAUUUGUCGUCUUGGGUGUUCCCAGAUAAAAGGGCUCACGGAGCCACCUUUGGGAUACAUUUAAUACUCUCAAGAUUAUUACCUUUUAUACAAGAUUAUACAUUUAUAAUCUCAAGAGACUACCUCAGCGUACGCUUGGGAGCGGGAGCCAAGUGUCAACCUGAAAGAGCGUGCAUCUGACCACGUGACGUGGCACUCUCCGCAACCAAUAGGAGCGCUGAUAAAGCCGCGGCCCUCCUGCUUGGUCUAGGACUGAAUUUCAUCACAACACAUCCAGCGAUCUACAGCCAUUUAAAAAUAUAACAAAUCCUUUGUAAAUGUCUCAACGUUGUGGAGAUCACAAUGCUGUCUUAAAGAUUCUCCUUGUGAAGCCGGAAUACAAUGGGAAACGUAAGCCCCAGGGACCUUCAAACCCUCCCUUUUCCCACUUUCUCCCAGCCGUGUCUCAAACCGCAGAGAUCUCUCUUCCAUGGUCAUUCAGGCCAAAUUAGACCAAGCACACCCAAGACCAGGGCAUGGAUAUCUUACAUCCAAGAGGCGGAUCUGGAGCUCAGAAAAGAAGUCUGGGCUGGAGUGCAAAAUUUGGGACUUGUUAGCAUACAAAUGAUAAUUAAAGCAAGCAUUGUGGAUGAAAUUGUACGGGUGCCUGUUGAGAGGGGAAAAAGAGGAAGGGCUCUGACAUUUAAGCUGGAGAAGGAGCUGGCAAAAACGACUGAGCUUUUUAAAUCUCAGCAUCAGAGAAUCAAUGAGUUGGGGGAGUGGCAGAGGUGAUGUUGAACCUUGCACCUGGAACAGGGGUUCUUGCUUCAGCAUUCCUGGCGGAUGGCGCCCAGCCUGUGCUUUGACAUCUACAGUGCUAGACGGUGCCAAAUGUUGAGACAGUCUUAUACCAAGCAGAAUUGUUUCUCUAUAAUAUCCUGGCCCCUGUUCUGCUUUCUCAUGCGUCAGAAAUCCAGCCUGAUUUUAUUGUUUGCUUGUGCAUAAUAGCUCUUGAAAUAGUGUGGAAUAGUUAAGUGCCUAAUACAUGUAAUGUGAUCAACUGUUAAUGUUGUUUAUACAUUGUUGUUGUUAUCGUGAUUUUCGUUUCAUGCUUGCUCACAGCAAAGGCUUUAAAGCCUGCAUUCUAAUCUUGGGUCUGACCCUUUCUAGCCAUGUCAUGUCAUCUCAAUACCAAGUUCCUUAACCUUUCUUAGCACAGUGACUAGCAAACCGUAUGCACUCAAUAAAUGUUUGUUGUGUAAUAAUAAAAUAAUGACA